GUUGAGAGACAGGAGGGGUAAUGGGAGAGACAGGAGAGGUGAUAGGAGAGACGGGAUGGGGGACAGGAGGGGUAAUGGGAGAGACAGGAGAGGUGACAGGAGAGACAGGAUGGGGGACAGGAGGGGUAAUGGGAGAGACAGGAGAGGUGAUAGGAGAGACGGGAUGGGGGACAGGAGGGGUGAUAAAAGAGACAGGAGAGGUGAUAAGAGAGACAGGAUGGGGGACAGGAGGGGUGAUGGGAGAGACAGGAUGUGGGACAGGAGGGGUGAUGGGAGAGACAGGAGAGGUGAUAGGAGAGACAGCAGGGGUGAGAGGAGAGACAGGAGGGGUGAGAGGAGAGACAGGAGAGGUGAUAGGAGAGACAGCAGGGGUGAGAGGAGAGACAGGGG
ensembl:lncRNA